GACGAACGCUGGCGGCGUGCUUAACACAUGCAAGUCGAACGGAAAGGCCCUGCUUGCAGGGUACUCGAGUGGCGAACGGGUGAGUAACACGUGGGUGAUCUGCCCUGCACUUCGGGAUAAGCCUGGGAAACUGGGUCUAAUACCGGAUAGGAGCCAUUUUUAGUGUGAUGGUUGGAAAGUUUUUUCGGUGUAGGAUGAGCUCGCGGCCUAUCAGCUUGUUGGUGGGGUAAUGGCCUACCAAGGCGGCGACGGGUAGCCGGCCUGAGAGGGUGGACGGCCACAUUGGGACUGAGAUACGGCCCAGACUCCUACGGGAGGCAGCAGUGGGGAAUAUUGCACAAUGGGCGCAAGCCUGAUGCAGCGACGCCGCGUGGGGGAUGACGGCCUUCGGGUUGUAAACUCCUUUCGCUAGGGACGAAGCUUUUUGUGACGGUACCUAGAUAAGAAGCACCGGCUAACUACGU
rnacentral:rRNA from 2 species